rnacentral:rRNA from 1 species
UACGGAGGAUGCAAGCGUUAUCCGGAAUGAUUGGGCGUAAAGCGUCCGUAGGUGGUUUUGUAAGUCUGUGGUUAAAGCGUGGAGCUUAACUCCAUAAGGGCCAUGGAAACUACAUAACUUGAGUGAAGUAGGGGUAGAGGGAAUUCCCAGUGUAGCGGUGAAAUGCGUAGAGAUUGGGAAGAACACCGGUGGCGAAAGCGCUCUACUGGACUUAUACUGACACUGAGGGACGAAAGCUAGGGGAGCGAAAGGG